GCGCUUGUAGCUUAGUGGUUAGGGUGCCUGUUUCCUAAGCUGAAGGUUGCAGGUUCGACCCUCACCUGGCGCG
rfam:Nicotiana sylvestris Nsyl_contig54455, whole genome shotgun sequence.